rnacentral:rRNA from 1 species
UGAUGGAUGGGGAUGCGUCUGAUUAGUUUGUUGGCGGGGUAACGGCCCACCAAGACUACGAUGGAUAGGGGUUCUGAGAGGAAGGUCCCCCACAUUGGAACUGAGACACGGUCCAAACUCCUACGGGAGGCAGCAGUGAGGAAUAUUGGUCAAUGGGCGAGAGCCUGAACCAGCCAAGUAGCGUGAAGGAUGACUGCCCUAUGGGUUGUAAACUUCUUUUAUAAAGGAAUAAAGUCGGGUAUGUAUACCCGUUUGCAUGUACUUUAUGAAUAAGGAUCGGCUAACUCCGUGCCAGCAGCCGCGGUAAUACGGAGGAUCCGAGCGUUAUCCGGAUUUAUUGGGUUUAAAGGGAGCGUAGAUGGAUGUUUAAGUCAGUUGUGAAAGUUUGCGGCUCAACCGUAAAAUUGCAGUUGAUACUGGAUAUCUUGAGUGCAGUUGAGGCAGGCGGAAUUCGUGGUGUAGCGGUGAAAUGCUUAGAUAUCACGAAGAACUCCGAUUGCGAAGGCAGCCUGCUAAGCUGCAACUGACAUUGAGGCUCGAAAGUGUGGGUAUCAAACAGGAUUAGAUACCCUGGUAGUCCACACGGUAAACGAUGAAUACUCGCUGUUUGCGAUAUACAGCAAGCGGCCAAGCGAAAGCGUUAAGUAUUCCACCUGGGGAGUACGCCGGCAACGGUGAAACUCAAAGGAAUUGACGGGGGCCCGCACAAGCGGAGGAACAUGUGGUUUAAUUCGAUGAUACGCGAGGAACCUUACCCGGGCUUGAAUUGCAGAGGAAGGAUUUGGAGACAAUGACGCCCUUCGGGGCCUCUGUGAAGGUGCUGCAUGGUUGUCGUCAGCUCGUGCCGUGAGGUGUCGGCUUAAGUGCCAUAACGAGCGCAACCCUUGUUGUCAGUUACUAACAGGUUCCGCUGAGGACUCUGACAAGACUGCCAUCGUAAGAUGUGAGGAAGGUGGGGAUGACGUCAAAUCAGCACGGCCCUUACGUCCGGGGCUACACACGUGUUACAAUGGGGGGUACAGAGGGCCGCUACCACGCGAGUGGAUGCCAAUCCCAAAAACCUCUCUCAGUUCGGACUGGAGUCUGCAACCCGACUCCACGAAGCUGGAUUCGCUAGUAAUCGCGCAUCAGCCACGGCGCGGUGAAUACGUUCCCGGGCCUUGUACACACCGCCCGUCAAGCCAUGGGAGCCGGGGGUACCUGAAGUGCGUAACCGCGAGGAGCGCCCUAGGGUAAAACUGGUGACUGGGGCUAAGUCGUAACAAGGUAGCCGUACCGGAAGGUGCGGCUG